UACGUAGGGCGCAAGCGUUGUCCGGAAUUAUUGGGCGUAAAGAGCUCGUAGGCGGUUUGUCGCGUCUGCUGUGAAAACCUAAGGCUCAACCUUGGGCUUGCAGUGGGUACGGGCAGACUAGAGUGCGGUAGGGGUGACUGGAAUUCCUGGUGUAGCGGUGGAAUGCGCAGAUAUCAGGAGGAACACCGAUGGCGAAGGCGGGUCUCUGGGCCGAUACUGACGCU
rnacentral:rRNA from 1 species